rnacentral:tRNA from 1 species
GGCCCCGUAGCUCAGCGGUCUAGAGCUGGCGACUCAUAAUCGCUUGGUCCCCGGUUCGAAUCCGGGCGGGGCCA